GACGAACGCUGGCGGCGUGCUUAACACAUGCAAGUCGAACGGAAAGGCCCUGCUUUUGUGGGGUGCUCGAGUGGCGAACGGGGGAGUGACACGUGAGUAACCUGCCCUUGACUUUGGGAUAACUUAAGGAAACUGGGGCUAAUACAGGAUAGGAUAUCCUGCUGCAUGGUGGGGGUUGGAAAGUUUCGGCGGUUGGGGAUGGACUCGCGGCUUAUGAGCUUGUUGGUGGGGUAGUGGAUGACCAAGGCUUUGACGGGUAGCCGGCCUGAGAGCGUGACCGGCGCCCUUGGGACUGCGGUACGGCCCAGACUCGUACGGGAGGCAGCAGUGGGGAAUCUUGCCCAAUGGGCGGAAGCCUGAUGCAGCAGCGCCGCGUGCGGGAUGACGGCCUUCUGGUUGUAAACCGCUUUCGCCUGUGACGAAGCGUGAGUGACGGUACUGGGUAAAGAAGCACCGGCUAACUACGUG
rnacentral:rRNA from 1 species